UACGGGGGGGGUAAGCGUUGUUCGGAAUUACUGGGCGUAAAGGGCUCGUAGGCGGCCAACUAAGUCAGACGUGAAAUCCCUCAGCUUAACUGGGGAACUGCGUCUGAUACUGGAUGGCUUGGAUUUGGGAGAGGGAUGCAGAAUUCCAGGUGUAGCGGUGAAAUGCGUAGAUAUCUGGAGGAAUACCGGUGGCGAAGGCGGCAUCCUGGACCGGCAUUGACGCUGAACAGCGAAAGCUAGGGGAGCAAACGGG
rnacentral:rRNA from 1 species